rnacentral:rRNA from 1 species
GACGAACGCUGGCGGCGUGCUUAACACAUGCAAGUCGAACGGAGAAUUUAUUUCGGUAAAUUCUUAGCGGCGGACGGGUGAGUAACACGUGGGCAACCUGCCUUGAAGUGGGGGAUAACACCGGGAAAUCGGUGCUAAUACCGCAUAACAUACACAAACUGCAUGGUAAGUGUAUCAAAGGAGCAAUCCGCUUUAAGAUGGGCCCGCGGCUGAUUAGCUAGUUGGUAAGGUAACGGCUUACCAAGGCGACGAUCAGUAGCCGACCUGAGAGGGUGACCGGCCACACUGGAACUGAGACACGGUCCAGACUCCUACGGGAGGCAGCAGUGGGGAAUUUGGACAAUGGCGCAAGCCUGAUCCAGCAAUGCCGCGUGCAGGAAGAAGGCCUUCGGGUUGUAAACUGCUUUUGUACGGACGAAACGGCUCUGGUUAAUACCUGGGGCUAAUGACGGUACCGUAAGAAUAAGCACCGGCUAACUACGUG